rnacentral:rRNA from 1 species
GACGAACGCUGGCGGCGUGCUUAACACAUGCAAGUCGAGCGGUAAGGCCCUUUCGGGGGUACACGAGCGGCGAACGGGUGAGUAACACGUGGGUGACCUGCCCUCAGCUCUGGGAUAAGCCUGGGAAACCGGGUCUAAUACUGGAUAUGGCUCCAUGACGCAUGUUGUGGGGUGGAAAGCCUUGUGCGGCUGAGGAUGGGCCCGCGGCCUAUCAGCUUGUUGGUGGGGUGANGGCCUACCAAGGCGACGACGGGUAGCCGGCCUGAGAGGGCGACCGGCCACACUGGGACUGAGACACGGCCCAGACUCCUACGGGAGGCAGCAGUGGGGAAUCUUGCGCAAUGGGCGAAAGCCUGGCGCAGCGACGCCGCGUGAGGGAUGACGGCCUCGG